CUCAGGAUGAACGCUAGCGGCAGGCUUAACACAUGCAAGUCGAGGGGUAACAGGGAGCUUGCUCUGCUGACGACCGGCGCACGGGUGCGUAACGCGUAUACAAUCUGCCUUACACUAAGGGAUAGCCCAGAGAAAUUUGGAUUAAUACCUUAUAGUUUAUUAGAAUGGCAUCAUUUUAAUAAUAAAGAUUACGGUGUAAGAUGAGUAUGCGUCCCAUUAGUUUGUUGGUAAGGUAACGGCUUACCAAGACUACGAUGGGUAGGGGCCCUGAGAGGGGGAUCCCCCACACUGGUACUGAGACACGGACCAGACUCCUACGGGAGGCAGCAGUGAGGAAUAUUGGACAAUGGGCGAGAGCCUGAUCCAGCCAUGCCGCGUGCAGGAAGACGGUCCUAUGGAUUGUAAACUGCUUUUAUACAGGAAGAAUAAGGACUACGUGUAGUCUGGUGACGGUACUGUAAGAAUAAGGACCGGCUAACUCCGUGCCAGCAGCCGCGGUAAUACGGAGGGUCCGAGCGUUAUCCGGAAUUAUUGGGUUUAAAGGGUCCGUAGGCGGGCUAUUAAGUCAGGGGUGAAAGUUUGCAGCUCAACUGUAGAAUUGCCUUUGAUACUGAUAGUCUUGAAUUAUUGUGAAGUGGUUAGAAUAUGUAGUGUAGCGGUGAAAUGCAUAGAUAUUACAUAGAAUACCGAUUGCGAAGGCAGAUCACUAACAAUAUAUUGACGCUGAUGGACGAAAGCGUGGGUAGCGAACAGGAUUAGAUACCCUGGUAGUCCACGCCGUAAACGAUGGAUACUAGCUGUUCGGUUUUCGGACUGAGCGGCCAAGCGAAAGUGAUA
rnacentral:rRNA from 1 species